rnacentral:rRNA from 1 species
CCCCUUAACCAUGACAGGUACGCUAUUGUUUUAGUCCAUCCUCCAGUCCCUGAUCAUCAAAAGGAGUUCUGGCUAGCCGAGGUCUGUCGCAUUAUCACUGGGGAUCUAGAGUAUGAUUUGGUGGAUGAUUUUAUUUACCCGCUGGGAAUUGGAUGUGUGGUUUUUGCGGAUAUGGAGAGUAGGGAUGCUGCCAUUAGAGAGGGGCCUCACGCUCUGACUGAGGAUUCUACUUUCUCUUUAGUCCCUCAUGACGAAUGUUUCAAUAUGCGCAUGCCUGCUUUUGAAUAUGAGGUUUGGGUCAUGUUUCUCGCUCUCCCAAUGGACUAUCAGACUGAACACUAUAUUCAUAAGGCUGUCUCUAACUUUGGAAAACUUCUUGUCUGGCCACGCCCGGGUCACAACAAAGCUAGAGUUCUGGUUAAGUGUCAUAUCAAAGAUGUUGCUGAGGUGCCGCAUAGUCUGUUGGUUACCAGGGUUGGUUUGCUGCCAGGUCUUGCUCGAUCUUGA